rnacentral:misc_RNA from 1 species
CAGAAUCUCAAUCGCCAUCGAGCGUGAGCGUGCCGCUACGGAAAAAAAGUAUGGAGGACAUUUCGUUGCCUCACGAUACCAGAGUCGAAGACAUUUUAGCCGACUAUUUCACGAAGAAGAUCGAAGGCAAGGACGCGGAGGCCAAGGAGAAGCACUCGGACUCGCAGCACAGCUCCAAAUCCAAGAAGUCCAAGAAGCGCAAGCACAAGAAGAAGAAAAAACACAAAACCCGAAAAGCUCAUUCAGAGAACGAGGAGGAGGAACGUGCCCGCUCUAGUGCAGACGAAUGCUGGGUGGAGGUAACGGCAGGCAAGGACAAGGAAAACUCUGCGAAGGAUAAGUCAGAUAGCACUGACAAAGAACCAAAGAAGAAACAAAAGAGCAAAAGCAAGCGUAGAGAUGCUAGUGCCUCUUCAAAUUUAGAUGCUGCAACGGCGCAAGAUGUGCCGUCGAAAGACAAGGGUGGCACAUGCAAAGAUGAAGACCGCGGCGGCGGCAAAGGUGACACUGUCCAGAAGGAGCCAGCAACCAAGGACGAUGUUAAACAAGCUGAGCAUACUGGGCACACAUCUAGGAGGUCAAGUUUAUCUACAUCUCCGGCAAGGAGCAGGCGGGCUUCUAGCAGCUCUGACUCAGAUGAUGACCACAAAAGCGCAUCUGCAGCAGAGCCUGCUAGCCGUGCUUCGAAAGCAGAACCACCUAAAAAACCAACGCAAAAGAAAGGGCGAAGCUACAGAACAAAGCGUUGUCGAUCAUCUGGCUCGUCGGAUUCGUCUGAAGAUGACCGAGACAAGCAGAGCAGAAGUCGGAGCCGAAGUCUCUCGCAAGGGGCGAGCCCUCGACUUUCUAGGCAGAACAGGGCACGCAGUUCCAGCAGAAGCCGGCGCGGCACUCAGAGCAAGGAUUUGAGACAAGAAAGGAGCAAGAGCAGAGAUGACAGCAGAUACGACCGAUCACGAGAUCGUUCUCGUAGUCCAAAAAGGUCAAGUCCCGUUAGAAGCCAGCUCCAUGGCCAAAGUCGCAGUAGGCUGAGCCGUAGUCCUGAAAGAUCAAGGAUGGGCCGUAGCCGUAGCCGAAGGCGUUCGCAGGGUCGUCACAGUCGUAGCCCAAGGCGUUACGAAAGUCUUCGUGGCCAUAGCCCAAGGCGUUCUGAAGUUAUUCGCAACCGCAGCCCAAGACGUACCGAAGGUCGUCGCAGCCGUAGCCCAAGGCGUACCGAGAGUCGUCGCAGCCGUAGCCCAAGACGUCCUGAAAGUCGUCGCAGCCCAAGCCCGAGCCGUGGUCGAGGGUGGUCUGGAAGCAAGCAAAGCCGUGGUCGAACACCACCAAGGCGGAGUCGAAGCCGCAAAAGGUCAGUGAGUCGGCAGCGAGGUCGCCGUAGUCAAAGCCCUAGCUCUAAGCAUUCUCGACGAAGUACGAGCAGAGAUAAAAGACACGAGAGAAAAAGUCAAAGUCCUAAAGGAGAGAGAAAAAGUCGUAGUUGCAGCCGUAAACGGUCGGUGAGCACACAAAGGCGCUCUUCACGUCAUUCAAGCAGUGGUGACAGUUCUUCAGAUCGCAGCAAGUCUAAUGAGAGAGAUAAAAAAACUGAGGAGAAAGCCUCCAGUGCGAGAGCUUCAACACCUGAUAAGGGCAGUGCAAGUUCUGUCGAUGAAGACGAGAAAGAAAAACGGGCAAAGUCUGCAGAGGAGAAAUUGAAACGGGGCAAAUCGAGUGACAAGGAAAGUUCCAAUGAUGGCGGCAAAAACCAAGUGGUUCUUUAUGGACCGUUUGAGGAAGAAGAAGCUAGUUUUGAUGAGGAGCCAAGUCCCGACAGAGCGGAAUCGACCACAAAACCCACGCAGCCAGAGACGUGCUCUGGUGGUGCUGGCAAGAAUGUGAAAAACCAACCAGCAACCAGCAGCCUCGAUGCAGUGCCACUGCCAGCAGAGCCUGCAGCCCAGUCUGAAGACACUCAACUAGAGGACAUGGACAUUUCAGACUCGCCAUCCUCGGGCGGUGUGCUUGAAGUGGAGGACAGCCUCAGCCAAAGCCUGACUUCUGGUGAACGUCACAGCUCACCCUCCGUCAGUUCUCAUCAUCAGAAUGAAACCAGGGCCUCGCAACAGUGCGUGCCACCGCAGAAGGUCCCUACGUCUGAAGAGACAUUGGCUAAGACAGCACCGACUAAAGCUGCCAUUCCUUGGACCUAUGCUGAAAUGCAGCCACCACCUCCGCCCCCUUGGUUGAAGCCUGAAGUAACGAAGCCUGUGGGCCAGGUGAGGCCUUUUGUUAGAGAAGUUAAUCCAAGCGAGUUGGCAGCACAAAAGGGCCUCUUGCAGGGGAAGCAAGAAGGGGUUGGUGCUGUUGGCUCCCUGGUCACAGUGCAGCCAUCCACUGAUCCUCCGUUGAUCGCUCCCGACAAGUCCACAUACAGAGCUGAAGAACUGUCUGCUUUGGCAAACUCUGCGGCAAAGGCUGCACAACAAUCUGCUUUUCCCGAUGUUUCAGCAAAGCUGAUACCACAGAUAUCUCUUGCAACUGUGCCGCCGCCACCUGUAAAUGUGCACAGUGGGGCACUGUAUUCGGCUACUGUGAUGCCAGUACAUGUUCCUUACCAGUUUAUGGGUUUGCCAGGGCAUGGUCAAGUCGGCCCUGGUGCUACAUUGCCAGUUGCACAGGAAAAGUCCGCCCACGUGACUGAGCAGCACCAUGAGCAGUGCCCACCCCAACCACAACAGAGCCGCGAUAACCAACCGUCGGACUCUGCAGACUCUACUAGCACUGCUCCCCAGCUUAGUGGACCACCUGUGAGUGAGUCAAAUCCUCCAUCUCCCACAAAAAAGUCAGAAGUUACAAGUAAAGCUCCAGAUGUAGGUGUAGCAGAGGAAGCAAAAGAUGGCAAUGAAUCAGGGAGCUCGUCCAGAAGCUCUUCACCAGCAGAAGGGCGAAGUCGUAGCAGCAGCAAGGAGAGAUUGAACUCUCGUACGUCUAGAAGUCGCAGUGGGGACCGGGAGAUCGCAAAACGAUCGCGGAGUAGUGAGUCUCGAAGCCCGAGCAGUGACGCCAAGCGGCUGCGCAAGGACGAUCGUGCAGACUCUGAGGAAAAGAGGACGAAAAGCGAGGGUCUCGACAGACAUGAUAGUGCAAGCCCAGACCGCAAGGCACGUGACAGCCGUGCUAGAAAAAAGAGCGUGAGCCCAGACAGGAAGCAGAGCAAGACUAAUGACCGUAAAAGGAGCAAGAGCCGAGACAGAAGACGGAGUAAAAGCCGUGACAGAAGGAGCAAGAGUCGGGAUAGACGGAGAAGCCAGAGUCGAGAUAGGAAAAGAAGCCCAAUCCGCGAGCGGAGGAGAAGCAAAAGUCGCGAAAGAAGGCCGAGCAAAAGCCGAGAGCGAAGGAGGAGCAAGAGUCGGGACAGGAAAAGGAGCAAGAGUAGGGACAGAAAGAGGAGCAAGAGCCGAGAACGAAAACGGAGCAAAAGUCGUGAGCGAAAGAGAAGCAAGAGUCGUGAUCGGAGAAGGAGCAAAAGCCGUGACAGGAAAAGAAGCCGAAGCCGUGACCGCAAGAGAAGCAAGAGCCGUGAGCGGCGUACUAGUGUUGGCCGUAGUGGAACACGGUCAGCGCGAAGGAGAAGUGCCAGCAGGUCUCGCAGAAGCCGCAGCCGCGACCAGACCAAAAGACGUAGCCAAAGCAGAGAGAGGGCACGCCAGCGGCGAAGCCAGAGCAAGGGGAGAGACUCAAGCAGGAGGAAGUCUAGAGACCGAGAGGCUCCGAGGGGGGGCCUAAUCCUGAAGCGAUACAAGAACGAGCUCAGCAGUGAGUCUGACAGCAGCCCCGAAAGAAAAAGUAAAGCAAAGCCCUCUUCACCUGUCAAAAAAAGGCAACGCAGGGACAGUGAUGCUGAAAGUGUUAGCUCAGGGGAUGAUAAGCCUGAAGAUAACAGGGUGGCAUCGCCAAUGAUGUCUGACACUGAUGAGCCUGACGCAGAUGGCAAAGGUGAUGACUGUACAGAUAGCGAGAAAGAGAAAGAACUUGAGAAGCAACAAUCCUCAGAAACAGCGAGUAAAGAUAAAUACAAGGAUGCUCCAUACGGACCACUUCCCCCAAAUGAAGCCGUCACUCCUCCAGCACCCAAGGAUGCACACCAUUCUGAUGAUGAAAUGGAUGAUGAGCAGGAUGUACCAGCUGGCUCUAAUAUUAGCUCAUCCUUGGAAACAAAAGCAGGUAGCAAGGCACUUCACACUCAGGUCGUGAGUAGCAGUAGUUCCAAAGAGAGCAUUUGCUUGGCUGGGGACACAUUGUUGGCAAGCAGUAAAGGCCAUGGCACUUGUUCGGACAGUACUGCGCGUAGAAGCCCAGAACUGAAGCAAGAACGGCAAGAAAGGAGUACAAAUAAAGGAGACAAGAUGAAUUCUGAGAAGCUCAGUGUCCCAUGUGGUGAAAGCGCUGUGUCGAGCUCAACUGGCAGUCCUGGACAGCCAGAAGAGCGACCCAAAAGCAGAGGAGGACUUUCUGAAGAUUUGAACACAAAAAAAAUAAGUGGAGGAAAUUCAUCCUCUGUGCGAGGUCCACCUGCCUGUACGGAUCCUAAUGAUGACGGUGAAAAAAAGCCAAGUACGACGACAGACGACAAAGCUAAAGAAGCCAGUUACAAUGAUGACACAAGGAGUACCUCGGACAAUGAACGCAAGAGCCGCAGCAGGAGUCCAUCGAGCACAUCCUCCAUUGAAAGAGCUCGGACAAGGAGAGAGUCCUCAUCUUCAAGCACCAGUCCGAGCCCAGAGAGGGACGCUUCUAAAGAGCCCAGCAAAAGCAGGAGCACAUCUCCAGACAGUCCUGACAGGGAGACACGAGAUGAAAGUCCUGAGAAGAAAAGCCGAAGCCGGGAUGCGAAAAGGAGCCGUAGCAGAGAGAAAAAAAGAAGUAAAAGUCAAGAAAAGAGAAGGAGCCACAGCCGGGAGAAAAAGAGGAGCCACAGUCGCGAGAAAAAGAGAAGCCUGAGCCGAGAGAAAAAGAGAAGCAAGAGUCGUGAGAGGAGAAUGAGCCGUAGCCGAGACAGAAGUCGUCGCAGCAAGGAGAGGAAAAGAAGCAGGAGCCGAGAGAAGAAACGAAGUCCCAGCCGCGAAAAGAGGCGGAGCCGCAGCCGUGAGAAGCGAAGGAGUCGCAGUAGGGACAAAAGGAGAAGCCGCAGCCGAGAAAGGAAGCCAAGCCCUAGUCGGGACAAAAGGAGAAGCCGCAGCCGAGAGAAGAAGCGAAGCAUAAGCCGAGAUAGGCGCAGGAGCCGUAGCCGAGACAAGAGGCGGAGCCGCAGCCGAGACAAGAGGAGGAGCCUCAGCCGGGACAGGAGGCGCAGCCGAGAGAGGAGGAGAAGCCGCGACAGGAAGAGCCCAAGUCGAAGCCGAGACAGGCGGAGGAGCCGAGAGAGAAGGCCUCGCAGCAGGAGCCGUCCGCGACGAAGCUGGAGCCGGGCCAUGGAGCUGCAGCGUAAGCGGAGUGCCGAACGGUUGCGGAAGAAGAGCAGGAGCCCCCGGAAGAGAAGCCUGAGCAAAAGGAGGUCGCCGCCGCCACGUAAGAAGAGCCGCAGUCGCAGCCGGCGGCGUUCUAGAACCCACAGUCCUCCAGAACGGAAGAGGAAAAGCCGCAGCCGUGAAAGAAUGCUACCGCAAGGCCACAGCGACCAGCAGGGAGUCAGCCACAGGAACAGGGAGAGCAGGGAGCCCUCGGUGGUCAAGGUGGACAAGGCCCAGCUGCUGGAAGCUGCCCGCAAGAACAUGCAGGCCAUGCUGCAGCGCGGUGUGGUCGCCAAGGGCCUCCCUGUGGCUGCGGCUGCGGCUGUGAACGCGACUGUCAAAGUGGUGGCCGCGGCAGUGGCGGCGGCUGCAGCUGAUCCGAGGUCAUCGCUGGCCGCCAAGUUGGACGUGGCUUCGUCUGCGACUUCUACGCCCCCGAAUGAGCCUCCAGUCUUGCCCCUGGCGCAGUCGGGAGAUGGUACGGGCCCCGCUGUCACCCUUGGCAUGACCGACGAGCCGCCAAAGAUCAAAAAGUCCCUGGCUGCACUCACUGGUGAGUGACUGCGUGGCCGCGCUUCCCAGCAGUUGUGAAGCAGACGUAUCCGGAGCAGGGAUAACGGACGAAGCAGCCGAGUAAAUCUGCAGGGCCAUCUCUGACGAAGAAAAGCGCGAGUACGCUGGCGAAGUGGAACCCAAGACAGCUGAGGAAGUGGCUGAAGAGUUCCAGCAAACACACCACCACCCUUUCAAACUGAAGGAACCUCCACCCCCGAUUAGGUUUAACAUUCCU